UACGUAGGGUGCGAGCGUUAAUCGGAAUUACUGGGCGUAAAGCGUGCGCAGGCGGCGCGUUAAGACAGGUGUGAAAGCCCCGAGCUUAACUUGGGAAUUGCGCUUGUGACUGGCGUGCUGGAGUGUGGCAGAGGGAGGUGGAAUUCCACGUGUAGCAGUGAAAUGCGUAGAGAUGUGAGGAACACCGAUGGCGGAAGGCAGCCUCCUG
rnacentral:rRNA from 1 species